rnacentral:lncRNA from 1 species
GGGAGCGGCGAGUGAACAGGAACUUCUUAUGGAGGCUGGAGAGGAAAUCAAUUCUCUCCUUGCCUGGAGAUGCAAACAUAAUGGAAAGAUCUGGGCGUCUUAGGAGACCAUAGAGUGAGUCAGCAAAUCAGUGCUGGUUUGUUUUUUUGAAAGCUAAUGUGAUGCUGUGAUGUGUAAUAAUAACAGGAAUACAACCUGCAGGAAUCAUAAAAUAACUCCUUAGCAUUGAUCAGGGCCUUAUUAAAGUGGUGUGAUCAGCUUGGGGUCUGUAAUUGAAGAGGGAAGUGAAGAUGUCACAGAGGAAAGAGAGCGCUGUUGUGGCUUGUCCCUGAAUUCUGUGUGCUGCAAGGACGCUGCACACAGACUCCCCCCACCCACCCAGCUGUCGCAGUGGCUGUUGCAGUGAUGUCACACUGAGCCUAUAGGCUCCGCGAGUGAAAGAUGGGGGUGAGGCAUGGCGGGAGCAGAGAGCCUAGGUGGCAAAGGCAGAACAGGGGGUCAGACUAAGGGAAGCCAGAGAGCCUGAGACUAGGCAGGACACCUGCAAAGGGGCACAGCCGGCUGCCGCCUCGGCCAGGAGGCAUUGUUUACACUUCCAGCUGGGAGUCAGCGCAGCGGUUUUUCUCCUGCUUGUUGCCGAAAGGAAGCCAAGAGGCAGGGGAGUUGGUUCCAGCCCUUAGCUGGGCUUUCUGAACCUACGGAUUACAUGAGCGCAAACCCAGGUAGAUCACCACUGGACCUUCGAAAUGAGGGAAAAAUUGAAACAGAAGACAAAAACAGCGAUGCGAGUCCCUCGUGAAAUUAACCAGGAUCCACACAUCAUGAAUAUAGAUGACCAUUGGGCGUCAUCUGCUACACAAACUACAGGGUCGUGGUCACUCCAUCCUAGACGACUGCUUUCUGAAGGCAUUUUCAACUCGCUAAUAAUGCUCAUUCUCCAUCAGCGUGCUCCGUCUGUCUGGGGGAAGGAUUUUGUUGACUGCAAUUUGAAACUUCCGUCGAAUUUAAGGGGUAGUGGCAACUCAGACAGCAGCUUAUACACCUGUGUUCCUGCGAUGCUCUUUCCGUCACAGCCCUGGGCAGCUUUUUGGACCUUUUGGCUGCCAUCCUUUUCCAGCCGAGAAGCUUUUCUUCUGUUUUAUGCUACCACCACCUGCUGUCCUGUUCCUACCACACAGAAACUCGUCUCCCCUUUUCCCAAAGGAACGAAUCUGACUGCAAGGCCACGAUAGGAAUAUCUUUCAGGGAGAUUAAGCAAUGACACAACUUUUCGAGGCUUAAUUUUAAAAGCACAGACUUUUAAAAUGAACGUGUUAUUUUAAAUGCCUGUAAAGAAAGUACUUUUCUUUUAGUCAUGUGAUGAUAAAGGGCUGAAUAUGAUUUUCACCAUGGCAAGAGGAAACGAUCGGAUGGGUGAUCCUUUUCAUUUAUUUUUAUUUAACAAACAUUUAAAUCGUGUUUAGUAUAUGUCGGGCACUAUUUUAAGUUCUCUAUCAGGAUAAGUCUUGUAAUCCUUAUAACAACCCUGUGAAGUAGGUUCUAUUAUUAUUCCCAUUUUGGAGAUGAGAGACCCAAGGCACAAAGAGGUCAAAUAACAUGCUCAGGGUUGCUGUAGUGGGUUACGUUCGUGUUUAAAAUAUUAGAUGCUCCUCCCUGUUGGCAUCAGUCUCAGCUAUGUUACUUGCAGUGCUUUCCUUUCUCCAUGUACAUUCGGCCUGACCGGGUGACUGGCAUUGUCCUAUGACAUCUGAACAGAGCAAAAGGUUCCGAGCAAAAGCCUUUUUUUAAAAAAAAGUCAGCUCAGAGUCCACCAUGUUCUUCCCUUCUUUAUCCAGGAAAGCAGUAGUGUUUGAGAGAGGGGAUGUUCUUUCAUAUUGGAUUUGAGAAUAAAGACAGAUGGAGCGGAACUGGAGCUGACCCC